GAUGAACGCUAGCGGCAGACUUAAUACAUGCAAGUCGAGGGGCAGCAAGAUACUUCGGUAUUGUUGGCGACCGGCGAAUGGGUGCGUAACGCGUAUGUAAUCUACCUUGUACAGGGGCAUAGCUCUCGGAAACGAGAAUUAAUUCCCUAUAUUAUCUUUUUAUCGCAUGGUAAUUGGAUGAAAGUUUUUCGGUACGAGACGGGCAUGCGUCCUAUUAGCUUGUUGGUGGGGUAAUGGCUUACCAAGGCGACGAUAGGUAGGGGGUCUGAGAGGAUGUCCCCCCACACUGGUACUGAGACACGGACCAGACUCCUACGGGAGGCAGCAGUAAGGAAUAUUGGGCAAUGGACGCAAGUCUGACCCAGUUAUGCCGCGUGCAGGAUGAAGGCCAUAGGUCGUAAACUGCUUUUAUGCAGGAAAAAUAAGCUUCUGCGGAAGCCGAUGAUGGUACUGUAUGAAUAAGCACCGGCUAACUCCGUGCCAGCCGCCGCCGUAAAAC
rnacentral:rRNA from 1 species